rnacentral:rRNA from 1 species
GACGAACGCUGGCGGCGUGCUUAACACAUGCAAGUCGAACGGAAAGGCCCUGCUUUUGUGGGGUGCUCGAGUGGCGAACGGGUGAGUAACACGUGAGUAACCUGCCCUUGACUUUGGGAUAACUUCAGGAAACUGGGGCUAAUACCGGAUAGGAGCUCCUGCUGCAUGGUGGGGGUUGGAAAGUUUCGGCGGUUGGGGAUGGACUCGCGGCUUAUCAGCUUGUUGGUGGGGUAGUGGCUUACCAAGGCUUUGACGGGUAGCCGGCCUGAGAGGGUGACCGGCCACAUUGGGACUGAGAUACGGCCCAGACUCCUACGGGAGGCAGCAGUGGGGAAUAUUGCACAAUGGGCGGAAGCCUGAUGCAGCAACGCCGCGUGCGGGAUGACGGCCUUCGGGUUGUAAACCGCUUUCGCCUGUGACGAAGCGUGAGUGACGGUAAUGGGUAAAGAAGCACCGGCUAACUACGUGCCAGCAGCCGCGGUGAUACGUAGGGUGCGAGCGUUGUCCGGAUUUAUUGGGCGUAAAGGGCUCGUAGGUGGUUGAUCGCGUCGGAAGUGUAAUCUUGGGGCUUAACCCUGAGCGUGCUUUCGAUACGGGUUGACUUGAGGAAGGUAGGGGAGAAUGGAAUUCCUGGUGGAGCGGUGGAAUGCGCAGAUAUCAGGAGGAACACCAGUGGCGAAGGCGGUUCUCUGGGCCUUUCCUGACGCUGAGGAGCGGAAGCGUGGGGAGCGAACAGGCUUAGAUACCCUGGUAGUCCACGCUGUAAACGGUGGGUACUAGGUGUGGGGUCCAUUCCACGGGUUCCGUGCCGUAGCUAACGCUUUAAGUACCCCGCCUGGGGAGUACGGCCGCAGGGCUAAAACUCAAAGGAAUUGACGGGGCCCCGCACAAGCGGCGGAGCAUGCGGAUUAAUUCGAUGCAACGCGUAGAACCUUACCUGGGUUUGACAUGGAUCGGGAGUGCUCAGAGAUGGGUGUGCCUCUUUUGGGGUCGGUUCACAGGUGGUGCAUGGCUGUCGUCAGCUCGUGUCGUGAGAUGUUGGGUUAAGUCCCGCAACGAGCGCAACCCUUGUUCACUGUUGCCAGCACGUUAUGGUGGGGACUCAGUGGAGACCGCCGGGGUCAACUCGGAGGAAGGUGGGGAUGACGUCAAGUCAUCAUGCCCCUUAUGUCCAGGGCUUCACGCAUGCUACAAUGGCUGGUACAGAGAGUGGCGAGCCUGUGAGGGUGAGCGAAUCUCGGAAAGCCGGUCUCAGUUCGGAUUGGGGUCUACAACUCGACCUCAUGAAGUCGGAGUCGCUAGUAAUCGCAGAUCAGCAACGCUGCGGUGAAUACAUUCCCGGGGCU